rnacentral:rRNA from 1 species
UACGUAGGUGACAAGCGUUGUCCGGAUUUACUGGGCGUAAAGAGCGCGCAGGCGGUCGAUCAAGUCGAGUGUGAAAGCCCCCGGCUCAACUGGGGAGGGUCAUUCGAUACUGAUCGACUCGAAGGCAGGAGAGGGUAGUGGAAUUCCCGGUGUAGUGGUGAAAUGCGUAGAUAUCGGGAGGAACACCAGUGGCGAAGGCGACUUCCUGGCCUGUUCUUGACGCUGAGGCGCGAAAGCUAGGGUAGCAAACGGGG